AGCCCAUCGCGAUAGAGGUCGCAAUAUCUCGCAUUUAUAAUGAUUAAAGAAUGCGAGGUCUUCUAUCCUCUUUACAUCCCGCGUCUUCGUCUCAUCUUAUACAUCCGGUUGCGAGGUUGGAAAGAUUCCGAGAGGUGAUGGCCAACGUAACGGCCGUCGUUGAAUCCGGUGACGACGAUGCAGGAUACUACCGCUGAUAUAUUAAAUGUAGACAUUAGUCAGCUAAUGUUUAUCGGCCGGUGAUGAAGAGCGCGACGGUGGAUGUCGGACGCGAGAUCUUAAUUGGACCAUAAUUCAUCGGCGGUCUUUCUCGCGGUAAUGCCGCGUGUCGUCGUUCUUUUCCAGCGUAUUUCUCGGAUCUUCCCGUGUACACGCAUGCAGAUGAGAUACGCAGAUCUUUUCAUCAUGGCGCGAUUCAAAUAAAUUUUUCUUUACAAAAGAUUCACACGAUGUGCUAAAAGAACGUUUCAUCGAUUCCAGCCGAAAGUUAGGAGGAGAGUCCGACAGUCUCGAACGUGGCUAGAAUCGGUACCUACACGAACAUUUCCUGUCGACCCUUCCGGCGCGCGCUUGACAGCGUACAAAAAGCACGCGCCUGCUUUGUUCCGUCCGUUCGUUUUCGUGACCAAGCGCCGAUCGCCGAGGUCGCAGCUUCCGUCGAGGUGUCCGAAGGAAACGCGAUGCCGAGAGAGAGAGGAGGGAGGAAGAAAUUCCCGGUAACUUUCCCUCCUACGCGCGAAUGGUUCGUGAGAGACGAGGAGAGAGGCGGCGGAAGAAGAUUCCCCCCAGCUAGCGAUGGGAUUAACCGUGAUUUUUCAUUAAUUACUAUUUAAGUUAAGAUUACGUCGCUCGAAAUAUGUCACUCACUUUUUUCAACUGUGACAGAACAUUUGAUCUCAGAUAUUGUAUAUUUUUUCCGUAUUUAUGAUUAUUAUACAGAGAUUAUUAUAUAUCGAGUAUAUUUAUUAUUUAUUGUAAUGUAAAACGAGUUACAAUAGAUUUACGAGAUUGUAACAAUUUCUUUUGUUUGAUUUCUCCUCAAUAGACAUUAAUAUGUAACAGUAAAAAAAUGAUAUGGACAUAAAAGAUUAUUGAAAGAUUAUUUAAGUUGUUAGUGAAGCGUAAAUAGGAUAAAUGUAUUCAGAAUUUUUUAAGUAUGUGCUAAUCUUCUUUGUAUCCCCGUAAACACCUUUCAGAUAUUUACUAAUAAUCUCCAAAAAAAGUGAAGACGU